GGAGAGUUUCGGAUGCAGUAGGUCCAGGGUAGGGCUGGAGAACCUGCAUUUCUAACAAGUUCCCAGGCGAUGCUGAUGUUUCUCGUCCAGCGACCACACUUUGAAAACUUCUGCUUAGCAGAUACUGCCAAACUGUUUUCCAAAGUAUUUGUACCAAUUUACCAUCCCACCAAGAUGAGAGUGCCAGUUGCUCUGCUUGGUAUUAUCCUCCUUUUAAAUUCCGGUCAUAUGGAUGGAGAUGGAAGGUGAAAAGUCAAUAUGUGGGGCAUGGAACCUUCUAGAAGAGCAGCUGAUGUUGUCUCUCCACUUCUCCAAGAAGCCCGCUGAACAUGUGUAUUCAUCAGAGCCCCAGAUGCCACAGGUGUUUGCCCAUGGAAUUCUAUGUAAUUUUUUCUGAAUUUUUCAAAUAUACUCUGCUGCCUGGUUGUGAAACCCCAAGAUGAAAUUAUCACUGAAGUGAGUGAAGAAUGUAAUAGAUACGGUGCUCUCUAGAAGUGUCUACAGAUAUUUUUGAGCCAACGAGAAUGCUUUUGAAGGCUGUUUACCGAUGAGGACUGGAGAGAAAAGAGGGAGCCUGGUGGACAGAAGCACAAAGAGCAUUUACGAUGCUGAGCCAUCUCUGAAGAUAGAAAGAAGCUUCCGUCUUCCCGUCUUGCAGAGAAUUGUUUUCCAGGAAAUUAAUUUUUUAGUUCUUCUUCCCUUUUGUCUCUCCACUUUCCAACUGAUCUUCAAAACAUAAUUGCAAACCAUAAGGAACUUGGAAAGGCUGAGCAGAAAGGAGGGGGUGCAGCAUGAAGCAACAUAUCUCAAAUCAGAACCAACUCACGGAGGCUGGCCCCCAAAGUUGUCACUGCUGCAGCCUACUGCAAUGUAGUCGGGUCAGGUGGAGUUCCCCAACUGGACAAAGAGCACCAUGAACAUUGACUGGCAAUACUUCAGAGGCCUUUUGGUGAUUGUUAGACUGGGCAGGACAGGAGGUGACACUGUGCAAUGAUUGAAAAAGAGACUCUGAAAAGAUAGAGAAAGGAGAAGGAACUGGUGGUUUUGAAAUAGAGCUGUGGAUAGAGGGGGUCAGGGGAAGAAGAGGAUGGAGGACAUUCAUCUUCAGAAGAAAGCAUCAGGGAUCCUGGCUCUUGAAGAGAGGAAGGGAGACAGGGUAGGUGCUGGUUGCAUGGGGAAAGAUGACAGAGCAUGGAUAUGAGACCCAAGCACCCCCAAUAACUGGGAUUGGACAUUUCUAGUCAGUCUGCCUAUGAGGAGAGUGAUAAAGCCUGGUGGGGAUAUUUGAUGGAUGAACCAAGGAAGAAGUAUGUGAGGUGAGAUUUUUAUAAAGAUGUGGUGGAAGACCAAUGAGAUUGUGAAUCAGGGAUGGAAAAUGUAGGACGUGUUUACUUCCUCUUUGGGCAGGAAAAGAAGAAAAGAAAACCCAUUGGCUUUAGAAUUUUUAUAUGUUUGCUAAGUGAAGUGACAAAAUAGCGUCUGAGAAGAGACCUUUGAGACACACCAGUUGAAAGAGGAAUGAUGGUGAGAAGCUAUUAGUGUUUAAGGGCUCCCUGAACCUGUGAGAGAUAAGAUUGGGUUUGGCUCAGGAAGGAGGACAAAAGAUAAAGGUCCAGGGACAAGUGAGAUAAAUCCAACCGUUUUUAUGGGAGAAGAGGAAGAAGAAAGAAGUGGGAUCCCCCAGAUAAUAAAAAAGUAGGAGUCCAGAAAGCGAAAGAAAAGGCCUCAAUGAGUGUGAAGUGAGCCAAGAACUCCGGAUUUGAACCCAGAGUCAAGUCUUUCCAUCGGUGUUCCAUGGGCGAGUACUAGCUUCUCCAAGUCUCAAGUUUUCGUUCUCUGAUUUUGACACGGGGGCUAAAAUACAUUCUCUGAAGGAUGAUUGAGCAAAUUCAACCACCAGAUCUCUCAUCUAUUUUUAUUUUCUAUCCUAUAAUGGAAUCUAUCUGGAGGUUCAUGGAGACGAUGUGGUGAGGGAGCAGCAGGAAGGAUAGAAUCCACGGGUAUAGGAUAUACACAUAGGGAGGGGGCUUCACAAUCAUCUGUUCAAUGGGAAAAGUUAGAGAGCUCUCUUGGACUACAGUCAUAGGGCUUGGAGGUAGAAACACACAGAUCCCAAAAGAGAACACUUUGCUUACCAUCUGCCCACUUCUUGGAGUUCUGGCCUUGUAGUUGGUCAAAAGGCAGCAAGGAUCCGUGAAGCCUGUUCUGAAUUCACCCAAGUCUAUGUGCGAAAGGCAUCCUUCUUUCGUCUUCCCACGCGAAGCGCAGCUAUUAAUUACACUAAGUGACAAAGAUUCUCCUUGUUGCUUGAUGGACACAAGGAUGAAUCUUUGUUACUGAUUGCAAAUAAUAGAAGUCUGAUGGUGAUCAAGAGUUGGGCCUGGAAAACAUGCACCAAGCCACACAAGGGGCAUAUGGCACCUUCUUCUGAAUCAACCCCAGAGGCUGCAGGGAAACAGAUUCUAUUUGAAGCACUUGUGCAUAUUAAUUCGUGAAUUCUCCUAACAACCAUCUGAGCUGCACACUGUUAGAAUCAUCCACAUGUGCCCGAAGCUGUGCCCAGAGUCACGCAGGUAGAUGGUAACCAGGUGCAUUCGUUUGCCAGGGCUGCUGUGACAAAGUACCAUAAACUAAGUGGCUUAAACAACAGAAAUGUAUCGUCUCACAGUUCUGGAGGCCGGACAUCCAAGAUCACGGUGCUGGUAGGGUUGCUUCCUUCUGAGGGCUGUCGGGGAGAAUUUGUUCCACGCCACUCUCUGAGCUUCUGGCAGUCUUUGGUAUUCCUUGGCUUGUGGAAUCAAUACUUCGAUCUCUGCCUUCAUUUUCACAGAAUGCAGCAGAAGUGAUGGUGUGCCAUUUCCGAGCCUAGCACAAGAGCUCAAGAGGUCUCGUACAUGGCUAUUUCUUCUUGAAACCCUGCCCAGAUACCCUGUGAAUAAGACCAGGGUAGUCUGCUGGAGGAUGAGCAACAAUGUGGAACAGAGGUAAGAUGUCUCAACAGAGGCCAUCUUCACUAGCCUGUCCUUGGCCAACUCAGCAGCUAAAAGGAGAUGAGUGAGUGAGAACAGGCAACAUCAGGGGAACCAUACAACUGAGCACAGCCUAAAUUGUUGACCAAAACAAUCAUGAGCUAAAGAAGUAGUGGUUGUUUCAAGCUACUAAGUUUUAGUAUGGUUUGUUAUGCAGCAAUAGCUAACUGAUAUACUGGCCUGGAAAUUUGACCAAAUUUUAUGCUUUCUAUUCUCUUUUGUUGCUGCCUCAACAAAUAUUUGUGUAUAAAGAAGACUUAGCAUUGUUGGUAAUCACCUCUGCUGCUCUUGGCAGAGUGAUCAUUGCUAGCGGAGACUAUCCUAAGUCAGUCCUUGAAGUCACCAUCAGGCUUCCUCCUUUUUGGUGAAAGAUGCAAACCACAACAGUCUGUCCUUUACUUUGCACGGAAUGUCCUGUCAUACCUCUGACCACUGGAACCCUAAGCAUUUUACUGAUUUAGCGAGCCCCUCAGUCUUCAUAGGGUUUCCCUCUCGCCCUCUGGGACACAUGUGUAAGGCCUCCAGUGUACUAGCUACUUCUUGCUCAUCUGGUCCAACUAGAAGAUGCUGUCAGUGUGACAUCCUGUGGGAUCCCCAGAUGUGCACAUCUCUUCAGACUAUAUUAUGACAGAGGGUAGAAGAGCUAACAUAGUCCUGGGGCAAAACUGGAAUAUUUUUGUCCUUUUAGUUUGAAUGCAAACAGUUUCUGAUUUUCUUUUCCACUAAAGAUAGAGAGGAACGUCUUCUCCAUAUCAAUAACUGUGUAGCCUAUACCCGAGACCUAUUAAUCUCCCCAGCAAAGACACCACUUCUGGCAUGGCAACAGCAAUGGGGACCACUACUUUGUUGAGUUUGAGUAGUCUGCUGUCAUUCUCUAGGAUCUGUCUGGUUUCUGCACGUCCAGAUUGAUCAAUUAAAAGGAGAUAUGAUGGGGACCACUACCCCUGCAUGCUUUAAAUCCUUGAAGGUGGUACUUAUUUCAGCUAUCCCCCCUGGAAAUUGAUAUUUUCUUUGAUUUAGUGCACAUGUGGGCAGGGUAGGAGGGAGAAGCAGCCUCAGAAGUUUGUACUUGGCUCUCCCCGUAAUGGUAGUUCUUAUCCCACAGGCCAAGGACUCAGUGUUAGUUGGUUGCUCUGACUACCAAUAAGUCUGUCCCAACUGUACAUUUGAGGAUGAGAGAAACAAUUGCCAACUGGGUCUGUAGAACUGGUAGAUACCUGCUGAGUUAGAUGUUGGUCCGAUGCCAUUAUUCCUGGUCCCCAUAUGCUCCCAUUUCAACAGAAGGGCCACAGUAAUGCUUCAGUCCUCCAGCUAUCAGUGUAAACUGAGACUCGGUCGGCAAUAUUCUGAGAUAUAUUUGGGUAUUCCCCUUGCCUUGUGUACAGUUACCUGAAUAAAUGGCUGAGGUCCUUUGGGGAAAGACUGGAGGAAUCAUUGCCAUGUUCAUUUGCCAUUGUGUUACAGGAUCUGUCCUCCUAGGGACUCAGUCUCCUUUUUAAUCAAUGAGGUGCUGUCUGAAAACUGGCUAAAGUCUGGAAACUAUGAAAGGGAUCAAGACCCUUUAUGGGGCUGACACUCCUUAGUCUCCUGGUCAUGCAUCAUUGGUUCUUUUGCAGGUGUAAGGAAAGAAUUUGUCUUUGCACGGUAUAGUUGGCAGAAUAAUGCACCCCCUGCCAAGAUGUCCACAUCCUAAUGCCAGAAACUGUGAAUAUGAUAUAUUACAAGGCAAGAUGGAAUGAAAAUUGCAGAUGGAAUUAAGGUUGCUAAUCAGCUGACGUUGAGAUGGGGAGGGUAUCCUGGAUUACCUGAGUGGGCCUAAUGUCAUCACAUGGGAAGAAGGGGGUCAGAGUCAGAGAGAGAGAUUUGAAGAUGUCAUGCUGCUGGCUUUGAAGAUGGAAGAAAGGGCCACAAUCUAAGGACUGAAGGCAGUCACCAGAAGCUGAAAAGGCAAGGGAACAGAUGCUCUCCUAAAGCCUCUAGAAGGAACGCAGUCCUGCUGACAACGUGAUUUUAGCCCAGGGAGACCCAUCUCAGACUCUGGCCUCCAGAAUUAUGAGAUAAUAAAUUUGUAUCGUUUUAAGUCACUGAGUUUGUGGCAAUAUGUUAUAGCAGCAAUAAGAAUCAUGGGGAUGCCUGGGAAAACACUUUGAGACAGAGCUUGGGGCAGAAGAUAAGGAAGAAUGAAUGGUAAGCAUAUGCAGAAGGAGAAGCCUUUGUCUGGGGAGGAGGAGACAGGAGAAACAGCAUCAGCCUGGUGUGGUGUGAGGUGAAAGGCUGGAGCCACUGACUAGUUCUCUCCUGGUCUUCAUUGCCAUCCUAACAAUAUCUUUCUCUGUUGACCACUCUUUCCAUCUCCUCACUUCUUUUCCCCUUGGCUUCUGUCAUGCCACACCUGCAGAAGGAGACAUCACAUCAGAACUUGGUAAAGCAAAGCCUUCAGAGGCCUCUUGUAUAUCUGGGGGUCUUCUUGGGGCUUCCCUGGUCUAACUAGAAUGACCCACCCCUAUGUGCCCAAACAGCCCUCCAUCAUUGUAUUUGUAUUGGAUUUCUUCCUGUCUCUGAUUUCCACUCUGUACUGUGAGCUCCGUGAGAUGGGUCUUCAUCAUUUUGGCUUCCAGAUUUUACCACAAUGCCUGCGCAUGGCAGAUGCUGAUGAACUCUUUGUCAAAUAAAUGAAUGAAUGAAUGGAAGGAUCCUGAGUUCAACUUUGAAAAGUGUUGAAGAUUUGAGUCCAGGAAUUAAAGUUGAUAGGUGGUCAGUUGAUGUUUACAGGUUCUAUGAUCAAAGACUGUUAUGGGAGAGCCUUUUCUGAAGUCCAGCAUCUAUCCCCAUGAUUCUGUACCCAACAGUCUUGAAGGUGCCAUCCUGGAGCACAGCUUCCCACAAAGUGAAGGGACUUCUGCUGGCAAUGAGGUAGACCUGCUGUGGUGGAGGGCUGGAGCUGGGGUGGGAAACUGAAGUACACAGGAGAUGGACAAGAAAUCUAGUGCUGCUGCUAAUCACCUUUUACUGAAAACCAAUCUCUAUUUGGAACCUGGGACAAUUUAUUUGAGCUAUGCUAUGGGUUCAAUUGAGAACCCUAAAAUUCAUAUGUUAAGUCCUACUCUUAGGGCCUCAGAAUGUGACCUUAUUUAGAGAUUGAGUCUUUACAGAGGUAAUCAAAUUUAAAUGACAUCAUUAAGGUGAGCCCUAAUCCAAUGUCUGGUAUCCUCAUUAAAAGGGGAAAUUUGGACGCAGAGACAGACAUACGUAGAGAGAAGAUGCAUAGACGUGGAGAUGUGGAGAGACUGCACAGAGGGAAGAGACGUCCAUCUACAAGCCAAGGAGAGGUGCAUGGAACGGAUCCUUCCCCCACAGCUCUCACAAGGAACCCACCCUGCUGACUGACACCUUGAUUUCGAACUGGCCUCCAGAAUUGUGAGGCAAUCAAUUUUUGGUGUUUAAGCCGCCCAGGCUGUGGUACUUUGUUAUGGCAGCUGUAGCACGGUAACACAAGCCAGAAACCUGAGCGUAUGUAUUCACUUCCAGAAACUUGUGCUCUCUCCUGGGAAGCUGAGCUUCUCCAUCACAAACCUUAGAUGAGAAGGUGGGCCCUUCUCGGCCCCUUCUUGUUUGUGAUGGAGGUUUAGUAUCAAAGAUCCCACCUCUCUUGGCUGCACCUACAGCACCAAGAGGAAAACGUGAAAAUGCAUCAGGCCCACCCGGGGGUGGGAAGGUGGAAGAAGGUCAGUGAAGAGUGACCUAUUACAAUGUCGACUUUCUGAGAAGAGGAAUUAAAGAAUCCUUUAUUGAUGCCUGAUGCUGACCUGACCUAGCGAGCUUGGCCAUACAGUGACUUUCAGUGCUGCCAUCUCACUGUGACCCUUGUUGGCAAGUCAUGUUCAAAGUGUCAGAGAGAGGUUCAUUUCCAUUCGUGCAAGCCCCCAAUUCAUCACCUGUUGUUUACUUUGCUUAGGUAAAUGCACUGGGGACAAAUAACAGUGUCUUAAGUUGAAGCUAUGGGUGGGUAAUUGUGCUGGGAAAUACUAAAUUAUAAACACUUAAAUUAGGAGUCUAGAUGUGUCUUCAUAGAAAGUAUCUUAUGCCUCCUGGGUACAAUGUGGGGACGAUGAGAUGGGCCAGAAAGAAAGAUGAGAGUGAGAUCUAAGUGUAUGCAUUUGGGAGGAGUGGCAGCCACUGGACUCUGGAUUUGUAGGGGACAAGGAUGAUAGGCAGGGUGCUCCAGGGGUCUAGACAGGAUAAAUUACACUGCAUAGCAAUGGUCUUGGAGAAGGAAGGUUAAAAUGAAUAGCAAGGGCAGCCCCAAAGGGAAGGAACCAGGCAGGCAGUGCUAGGAACCGUAUCAUAUGUUUCCAAAGCACUAGGUUUAGGCUCACCUGUGCGGAUGAUGAUAUGAAUAGGUCUGAUACAGGGGGACCUUCCAUCCCAAGCUCUUAAGAACAUGGAAGUCAGUUUACCCUUACAUGUUCAGAAUGAUAAAGCACAUUUUUCUGGGUGAUGUGACAUUUGGCAAGGGACAAGAGGUCAGGGCAGACAUGCAUUUUCUGCCACGCACUCCCAGAUGGGUAGCUCCAUGCAGGAGUCAGUGUAUGCUUAUGGUGUUAUAAGACAGAGCUGUUAUGGGUGGGACUGGCUGGGGUUCCCCCUGACAGGCUGCAGGGCUAACCACUUGCAGAAAGUGCUCAACUGGAACUCUGAAGGUCCCCCCGUUUCCCUGGGCUGUUUAUUCAUUUACCACAGAGUAUUGGAAAAGUCAGGAACCUCUGUGUCUCACUUUACUCAUCCGUAGAAAAGGAAAUAAUAAUAUUCACUCCACUUGUCUCCUGGCAUAAAUAUGAACAUCAAACUUUGAAAUGGUUUAAAGACGGUUUUUAAAAUUGUUUUUAGAGGUAUAGAAGGAAAGAAGGAAGGAAGGAGGAAAGGAGGGAAGGAGAGAGGAAGGAAGAAAGAGUCAUUUGAAUCUCAUCUUUAUUCUGUGUUGAGAUUUCUGAAUUAAUUUAGUGAAAGUUGAGUGCCCUGCAGGGAAUACAGUCAGAAACUCUCCAAAUCUGUUUCUUGGUACUUAUGUUAGAAAAAUGUUGAGGAGCACAGUCACCAAACUUAUAUUCUGCAUGAAAAACUCGAAAUUCCAGUCUCUGGAAACUUAAUUCCUCUACGUGUCUUAACUUUUGUUGUUGCUGCUGUUGUCGUCUGCAGCCAUCUUUAAACGAUUGGGAUUCUCUUUAAAACUGCAGAACUGUGCAAUAUCCUUUAACCAUCAGGUCCUAACCACAAAACCCAUCACAAAGCGUGGCAGAGCAGAUCAGCAGUAAGAGGAUAUCUUUGAAAGACUAAGAUGAACAUUAAAUUAAUCAACCGAUGCUCUGGGGGGAAAUGGCCACUAAUUUCAAAUUUUUCAUCUCUGGAAAAUCAAUUAUUAUUAUGUUUAUUGAUGUUGUAUUUGUCACUAUUUUCAGCCAUUUCCCCUGAUGACAUGGGUUAAAAUAGGAACAUUGUUAUAAAAGAGAUUAGACAUGUUCGAUUCCGUUUCUAGACUUUCCACCUCUCAGCUACCUGGGGUUUGGGAGAGAAAUAAACUGCCAUAGGGCAAAGGCUGAGCUUGCCCUUUGUUCCUUUCUAUGGCCAUCCCUUUUGCCUCUCUAAGAUUUUAAAUAUUUAGUUAAACACCAGCUAAUGCUUUUUACUCUCCGGGCAGGAUUUUGGAGACGUGUGUAUAAAGUCAACACUCCCUUUGCAGUUAGGUUGACUGGGUUGGAAUUUGUUACCUUACCCCCAAAGGACUCUGAAGACCUUCUACCACAGUAUGGCGUGGAGCUUCCCAAUGUCUGUGGCACACAGGCUUCCUACAGAUGGGCUUGAUCCCGAAAAUGGCCCUGAUGCACAUGCAAGCCGGUUAAUGCCAGCCUAUGCCCA
rnacentral:lncRNA from 1 species